GUGUUCCUUUAAGCGAAGUUACAGCAGCAUAAGCCAUUUGCCUCUGUCUAUGUGGUAGCUUAUCAGAGCAGAACAAAGAAGAAAUGAAAGAUUAUAUCUCUUGAAGCUUUA